AGAUUCAGCAGAACCUUUGAAAGAAACAAAUCACAUGCCCAGUUUGAUGUCAGAUGAUGACCUGAGGGACCUAAUUACAGAGGCAACUGGCGGAUUUAUCAUUGUUGUUGAGUGUGAUCGUGGUCAGGUGCUGUAUGUUACCGAUUCAGUUCAAGAAAUAUUAAAUAUUUCACAGGUAUUGACAUACUUUGGUUACCGCGGAU